UGACCUCUGACCUCAAAUCAGGUAGGACUACCCGCUGAACUUAAGCAUAUCAAUAAGCGGAGGAAAAGAAACUAACAAGGAUUCCCCUAGUAACUGCGAGUGAAGCGGGAAAAGCUCAAAUUUAAAAUCUGGCGGUCUUUGGCCGUCCGAGUUGUAGUCUGGAGAAGUGCUUUCCGCGCUGGACCGUGUACAAGUCUCUUGGAACAGAGCGUCAUAGAGGGUGAGAAUCCCGUCUUUGACACGGACUACCAGUGCUUUGUGAUGCGCUCUCAAAGAGUCGAGUUGUUUGGGAAUGCAGCUCAAAAUGGGUGGUGAAUUCCAUCUAAAGCUAAAUAUUGGCGAGAGACCGAUAGCGAACAAGUACCGUGAGGGAAAGAUGAAAAGCACUUUGGAAAGAGAGUUAAACAGUACGUGAAAUUGCUGAAAGGGAAACGCUUGAAGUCAGUCGCGUUGUCCGGAACUCAGCCUUGCUUUUGCUUGGUGCACUUUCUGGAUGACGGGCCAGCAUCGAUUUUGACCGUCGGAAAAGGGCUAGAGUAAUGUGGCACCUUUUGGUGUGUUAUAGACUCUAGUCGCAUACGGCGGUUGGGAUCGAGGACCGCAGCGCGCCGUAAGGCAGGGGUUCGCCCACUUUCGCGCUUAGGAUGCUGGCAUAAUGGCUUUAAACGACCCGUCUUGAAACACGGACCAAGGAGUCUAACAUGCCUGCGAGUGUUUGGGUGGAAAACCCGAGCGCGUAAUGAAAGUGAAAGUUGAGACCUCUGUCGUGGAGGGCAUCGACGCCCGGACCUGACGUUCUCUGAAGGAUCCGCGGUAGAGCAUGUAUGUUGGGACCCGAAAGAUGGUGAACUAUGCCUGAAUAGGGUGAAGCCAGAGG
rnacentral:rRNA from 1 species